UACGGAGGGUGCGAGCGUUGUCCGGAAUCAUUGGGCGUAAAGGGCGCGUAGGUGGCCCGGUCAGUUCGUGGUGAAAGCGCGGGGCUCAACCCUGCGUCGGCCAUGAAUACUGCCGCGGCUGGAGCACUGUAGAGGCAGGCGGAAUUCCGGGUGUAGCGGUGGAAUGCGUAGAGAUCCGGAGGAAGACCGGUGGCGAAGGCGGUCUGCUGGGCAGUUUCUGACACUGAGGCGCGACAGCGUGGGGAGCAAACAGG
rnacentral:rRNA from 1 species